GCUUCUUCUCCACAGCGASCACAUCUGCCCCAUCUGUGAGAAUUGGCUCCGUGCUCACACUGGCCAGGGUGACAGCAGUGCUGUGACACCGGGGGACUGGCGGGACAGGGGCCCGCAGGGCCCUCUCUGCGCUCCCUGCACGGACCGGCAGCUCCUGUCCCUCGUGCACGGGGACAGUGCCAGCUGCCCCGUGUGUCCCCUGGCCGGGGAGGGGACCCUGGCCCACCUGGUGCCCCCGCUCAGCCCCGGCUGCCACUCCUGCCCCGUGUGCUCCGUGCCCACCCACGCUCACCUGUGCCAGCCCCAGCGCCCGGCACCCGACGGAUGAAUUCCGACACUGAUCCCAGCAGGGAUUCGGUUCUUAGUGCAAUAAACCCACUCAAACUCAAGGGUCUGACUCCACCACCUGACCUGGCAAAGAAGCAGAAGAGUCAAACAUCAAAACCAGCUCCGUGUAGGUUUAAUACCUACCUUUUUGUUUAUUUUUGUAUGAACAAACCACUUCUGUAGCUCCUCAAGUGAGCCUUUAAAAAUCCAGUAAACGUUUCUUUCCACUAGGAAAAUAAUUUCCUCUUUGCACAAUCUUGUCAGAUUUAUUUGUAUUUUAUAAAUYACAUUUUUUUAACUGAACUUCUUUUCGUAGUGUGCAACAUUUACAGUAUUUAUAGUAAAACUGUUUUGUAAA